rnacentral:miRNA from 1 species
GCACUCCCUUCUCCAGGGGAGCUAAAAGCCCCUGCAAGCCUGGGGGAGCUAAAAGCCCCUGCAACCAUGGUCUAGGGCACUCCCCAGGCUUGCAGGGGCUUUUAGCUCCCCUGGAGAAGGGAGUG